rnacentral:rRNA from 1 species
CCUACGGGAGGCAGCAGUGAGGAAUAUUGGUCAAUGGGCGUAAGCCUGAACCAGCCAAGUAGCGUGAGGGAUGAAGGUUCUAUGGAUCGUAAACCUCUUUUAUAAGGGAAUAAAGUGCGGGACGUGUCCCGUUUUGUAUGUACCUUAUGAAUAAGGAUCGGCUAACUCCGUGCCAGCAGCCGCGGUAAUACGGAGGAUCCGAGCGUUGUCCGGAUUUAUUGGGUUUAAAGGGUGCGUAGGCGGGCUUUUAAGUCAGCGGUGAAAUUCGGUGGCUCAACCAUAGAAUGGCCGUUGAAACUGGGAGGCUUGAGUAGGUUUGAGGUAGGCGGAAUGCGUGGUGUAGCGGUGAAAUGCGUAGAUAUCACGCAGAACCCCGAUUGCGAAGGCAGCAUGCCAAGCCAUGACUGACGCUGAGGCACGAAAGCGUGGGGAUCAAACAGGAUUAGAUACCCCUGUAGUC